UACGUAGGGUCCAAGCGUUGUCCGGAAUUAUUGGGCGUAAAGAGCUCGUAGGCGGUGUGUCGCGUCGGAUGUGAAAGCCCGGGGCUUAACCCCGGGUCUGCAUUCGGUACGGGCAGACUGGAGUUCGGCAGGGGAGACUGGAAUUCCUGGUGUAGCGGUGAAAUGCGCAGGAUAUCAGGAGGAACACCGGUGGCGAAGGCGGGUCUCUGGGCCGAUGACUGACGCUGAGGAGCGAAAGCGUGGG
rnacentral:rRNA from 1 species